GACAGAGGAUGCAAGCGUUAUCCGGAAUGAUUGGGCGUAAAGCGUCUGUAGGUGGCUUUUUAAGUCCGCCGUCAAAUCCUAGGGCUCAACCCUGGACAGGCGGUGGAAACUACCAAGCUGGAGUACGGUAGGGGCAGAGGGAAUUUCCGGUGGAGCGGUGAAAUGCGUAGAGAUCGGAAAGAACACCGGUGGCGAAGGCGGUCUGCUGGGCCAAGACUGACGCUGAGGCGCGACAGCGUGGGGAGCAAACAGG
rnacentral:rRNA from 1 species